AGUGGCGAACGGGUGCGUAACACGUGAGUCAUCUGCCUGAAAGUGGGGGAUAGCUCGCCGAAAGGCGAAUUAAUACCGCAUGUGGUUGUAAGACCAAAGCCGGGGCAACCUGGCGCUUUUAGAGGAACUCGCGGCCUAUCAGCUUGUUGGUGAGGUAACGGCUUACCAAGGCUUCGACGGGUAGCUGGUCUGAGAGGACGACCAGCCACACUGGAACUGAGACACGGUCCAGACACCUACGGGUGGCAGCAGUCGAGAAUUUUUCUCAAUGGGGGAAACCCUGAAGGAGCGACGCCGCGUGGAGGAUGAAUGCUUUCGGGUUGUAAACUCCUGUCAUUUGGGAACAAAGCCUUACGUUAACUACGUGGAGGUUUGAUAGUACCGAAAGAGGAAGAGACGGCUAACUCUGUGCCAGCAGCCGCGGUAAUACAGAGGUCUCAAGCGUUGUUCGGAUUCAUUGGGCGUAAAGGGCGCGUAGGCGGCGGGGUAAGUCGGGUGUGAAAUCUCAGAGCUCAACUCUGAAACUGCACUCGA
rnacentral:rRNA from 1 species